CGUAGGGUGCAAGCGUUAAUCGGAAUUACUGGGCGUAAAGCGUGCGCAGGCGGCUUUGCAAGACAGAUGUGAAAUCCCCGGGCUCAACCUGGGAACUGCAUUUGUGACUGCAAGGCUAGAGUACGGUAGAGGGGGAUGGAAUUCCGCGUGUAGCAGUGAAAUGCGUAGAUAUGCGGAGGAACACCGAUGGCGAAGGCAAUCCCCUGGACCUGUACUGACGCUCAUGCACGAAAGCGUGGGGAGCAAACAGGAUUAGAUACCCUGGUAGUCCACGCCCUAAACGAUGUCAACUGGUUGUUGGACGGCUUGCUGUUCAGUAACGAAGCUAACGCGUGAAGUUGACCGCCCGGGGAGUACGGCCGCAAGGUUG
rnacentral:rRNA from 1 species